AAUAAGGCAUAUAGCAAAGCAGGGAAGUGAUGGGCCUUCAUAAAAUCAUAAUACAAAAGAUUUGUGGGAGCCUGCCUGGGAGAAGAGUUCUACAAUGAGAAAUAAACAACAAAAGGAAAAGGAAAAGAAUAAGUCCCCUCCUUUUGUUUUGUUUAUAUUUAGUAUAUGGCAUUAUUAUUACCUGUUAUUAUUUAAAUGUAAUUAUACUUUUUGUUGAGCAAUGCCAUUUCCUUUUCAGCUUAUAUAAAGCCGUGGCCUUCCACUUACAGAUCAAUAACAUGCUUUGCGAUGAAUUUUGCUGUAGUGAUAAGUGAUAGAAACGUAAGAGCAAAUACCAAAGAGAAAAUGGUGGAGGCUCCCCCUUCUUCUAGUUCAUACCCUCCAUCCUCUCUGUUUGACUCUCCUUCAUCUCGGGAAGCUGGAGAGCAGGAGUUUUAGGGUUUAUUAUGAGAAGCUGAUGUUUAAGUUUCAAGUUUAAAGCUCUCAGGAAAGGCAACGCGUGGCUGGAUAAGUUUGUAAAGCUCACGCUCUACGACAAAACCUUCUUGGGUCUUCCUUUCUAACUGCAACAAGUUCCUAGACAUGUGUCCCCAGUUACAUGUCCAAUUACCAAUAUAUCCGUUUAUGUUGUUUUUAAAUGUUGUACCCGAGAUUUGCAAAUCUGUGGCACACUUGUCUUUGUUCUAAGCUGUCUUUGGUGGUUAUAAAUGUCUCCUCUGUAUUCCUUCCGACAUGUACUCCUUGGCAGAGUGGAAACGUAGUUUACAUUAGUACAUGUGUUGCGGUGUAUUUGAUUAUGGUUUUGGUGGAUGUGAAGUGAAAUCACUGCUUUCUUUGUUCA